AUUGAACGCUGGCGGCAUGCUUUACACAUGCAAGUCGAACGGUAACAGGCCGCAAGGUGCUGACGAGUGGCGAACGGGUGAGUAAUGCAUCGGAACGUGCCCAGUCGUGGGGGAUAACGCAGCGAAAGCUGCGCUAAUACCGCAUACGAUCUAUGGAUGAAAGCGGGGGACCGUAAGGCCUCGCGCGAUUGGAGCGGCCGAUGUCAGAUUAGGUAGUUGGUGGGGUAAAGGCUCACCAAGCCGACGAUCUGUAGCUGGUCUGAGAGGACGACCAGCCACACUGGGACUGAGACACGGCCCAGACUCCUACGGGAGGCAGCAGUGGGGAAUUUUGGACAAUGGGGGCAACCCUGAUUCAGCAAUGCCGCGUGCAGGAAGAAGGCCUUCGGGUUGUAAACUGCUUUUGUACGGAACGAAACGGCUCUGGUUAAUACCCGGGGCUAAUGACGGUACCGUAAGAAUAAGCACCGGCUAACUACGUGCCAGCAGCCGCCGUAAUAC
rnacentral:rRNA from 1 species